rnacentral:rRNA from 1 species
AACGAACGCUGGCGGCGUGGAUAAGACAUGCAAGUCGAACGAGAAUUACGAAUAGCUUGCUAAUUGUAAUUCUAGUGGCGGACGGGUGCGUAACACGUGAGCAACCUGCCCUGAAGUGGGGGAUAGCCUUCCGAAAGGAAGAUUAAUACCGCAUGUGGUCUUCGGACCAAAGAUGGCUUCGGCUGUCGCUUCAGGAUGGGCUCGCGGCCUAUCAGCUUGUUGGUGAGGUAACGGCUCACCAAGGCGACGACGGGUAGCUGGUCUGAGAGGACGAUCAGCCACACUGGAACUGAGACACGGUCCAGACACCUACGGGUGGCAGCAGUCGAGAAUCAUUCACAAUGGACGAAAGUCUGAUGGUGCAACGCCGCGUGGAGGAUGAAGGCCCUAGGGUCGUAAACUCCUGUCAUCGGAGAGUAAGCCUUGGUCGUUAAUAGCUUCCAAGGUUGAUAGUAUCCGAAGAGGAAGGGACGGCUAACUUCG